rnacentral:rRNA from 1 species
UACGUAGGGUGCGAGCGUUAAUCGGAAUUACUGGGCGUAAAGAGUGCGUAGGCGGUUCGUUAUGUCUGCUGUGAAAGCCCCGGGCUUAACCCGGGAAUGGCAGUGGAAACUGGCGGGCUUGAGUGUGGCAGAGGGGGGUGGAAUUCCGCGUGUAGCAGUGAAAUGCGUAGAGAUGCGGAGGAACACCAGUAGCGAAGGCGGCACUCUGGGCCGGUACUGACGCUGAGGAGCGAAAGCGUGGGGAGCAAACAGG